rnacentral:tRNA from 1 species
GUGGUUGUGGCUCAGUGGUGGAGCACUUGCUUAGCCUGGAGGAGGCUCUGGGUUCAAUCCUCAACACCACU